rnacentral:rRNA from 1 species
GACAGAGGAGCCAAGCGUUGUCCGGAUUGACUGGGCGUAAAGCGCACGCAGGCGGUCGUGCACGUGGGGUGUGAAAACUGGCGGCUUAACUGCCAGAGGCCACCUCAUACGGCGCGACUCGAGCCCGUGAGAGGUCCAUGGAAUUUCCGGUGUAGCGGUGAAAUGCGUAGAUAUCGGAAGGAACACCAGUGGCGAAAGCGGCUUCCUGGUCCAGCACCGACGUUCAGGCACGAAAGCGUGGGGAGCAAACAGG